rnacentral:rRNA from 1 species
AGGACGUUAGUAACUGAACGUCCCCUGACGGUAUCUAACCAGAAAGCCACGGCUAACUACGUGCCAGCAGCCGCGGUAAUACGUAGGUGGCAAGCGUUGUCCGGAUUUAUUGGGCGUAAAGCGAGCGCAGGCGGUUUCUUAAGUCUGAUGUGAAAGCCCCCGGCUCAACCGGGGAGGGUCAUUGGAAACUGGGAGACUUGAGUGCAGAAGAGGAGAGUGGAAUUCCAUGUGUAGCGGUGAAAUGCGUAGAUAUAUGGAGGAACACCAGUGGCGAAGGCGGCUCUCU